UGGUGUGGUCAUUUGUGAAAAGAGUUGCUUCUGGUGUAGUAUGCUGCGUGAAGCAGGUGGCAACAUGGUCGUAUUCUUUCCUAAAACUGCUGAGUAAAGCUACUCUUGACAUGUUACGCUUCUUAUGCUCCAUUUUGGAGGACUUUGGUAACGCGUUAGGUCUGCUGGAGUCCGUGAAACCCAUGUUAUGCGCGAUGCGUCCAGCUGUCGACUACGCGGGAGGCAAAGCGGUUUCACGCCUAAAUACAACGAGUGACUUUGUGGAAAAAGCGAUCGGUCUGGGGACGUUCAUUAAAAACGUAACUAACGCCUGGAAAUCGUUUGAAAGUCAGUUAUCCGAUAUUAACUGGAAAUGGGUUCAGCAGUAUUUCCCUUCUCUAGCUGCGUAGAUUCACAUCUCAGCUGAAGUUUCUCUUUAAACAACUCUUUAAACUUCUUGAAAUUACAAAAUGUUUGCAGAAGAGAAGCAUUAUCAUCCAUGGAAAGUAAUGAGCUACACAUUCUCAUUCUACAACACCAGAUUUAUGUGGUGGAGGACUUUGACCAUUAACAUAUUUUCUGUCUGAGAAGAAUCUGUUUGUCAGGGUAGUCUGUGAGAUAUUGCUUAGUAUAUUCUUUGUGAUUUUUAGCUAAAUGAUUUGUUUUCAUUAGCAUUAUAGAAGAGGUGUUCUCUAUGCUGCAUUUGUUUGUGUUUCAAGUCGUACAGAACUUUUGCACACAUUAUAAACAAAUAAUAUAUGGUUAUCUUCAGCAUGAGACUGGAAACUCAAUUGAUUAUCACUUUACGUGCUGCUAAUGUAUCUAAUAAACCUCUGGACCAAAAUUUGUUCCAACUUCAAAAAUGAGUUUGUCA